rnacentral:tRNA from 13 species
GCGGGCGUAAUUCAGUGGUAGAAUGUCAUCUUCCCAUGGUGAACGUCGUGGGUUCGAGUCCCAUCGCCCGCU